UACGGAGGGUGCAAGCGUUAUCCGGAUUCACUGGGUUUAAAGGGUGCGUAGGUGGGUAGGUAAGUCAGCGGUGAAAUCCCCGAGCUUAACUUGGGAACUGCCAUUGAUACUAUCUGUCUUGAAUACCUUGGAGGUGAGCGGAAUAUGUCAUGUAGCGGUGAAAUGCUUAGAUAUGACAUAGAACACCUAUUGCGAAGGCAGCUUACUACGCAGAUAUUGACGCUCAUGCACGAAAGCGUGGGGAUCAAACAGG
rnacentral:rRNA from 1 species